rnacentral:rRNA from 4 species
CCGUCGAAGGUGGGACAAAUGAUUGGGGUGAAGUCGUAACAAGGUAGCCGUAUCGGAAGGUGCGGCUGGAUCACCUCCUUU